rnacentral:rRNA from 1 species
GGCCUGGUUGGGUGGUCUUGCCGCAAGGUAAGCACUGCUCCGAUCGGGUCUUUCCUUCUGGGGAACCAGCGUGCUCUUAAUUGGGUGCGUUGGGGAUCCAGGACUUUUACUUUGAAAAAAUUAGAGUGUUCAACGCAGGCUAUUGCUGUGAAUACAUUAGCAUGGAAUAAUGGAACAGGA